rnacentral:rRNA from 1 species
UACGAAGGGGGCUAGCGUUGCUCGGAAUCACUAGGCGUAAAGGGCGCGUAGGCGGGCUAUCAAGUCUGGGGUGAAAUCCCACGGCUCAACCGUGGAACUGCCUUAGAUACUGACGGCCUUGAGGAAGGUAGGGGCAUGCGGAACUGUAGGUGGAGCGGUGAAAUGCGUUGAUAUCUACAGGAACUCCGGUGGCGAAAGCGGCGUGCUGGACCUUUUCUGACGCUGAGGCGCGAAAGCUAGGGGAGCAAACGGG